UACGAAGGGGGGCUAGCGUUGCUCGGAAUCACUGGGCGUAAAGCGCACGUAGGCGGAUUGUUAAGUCAGGGGUGAAAUCCUGGAGCUCAACUCCAGAACUGCCUUUGAUACUGACGGUCUUGAGUCCGGGAGAGGUGAGUGGAACUCCGAGUGUAGAGGUGAAAUUCGUAGAUAUUCGGAAGAACACCAGUGGCGAAGGCGGCUCACUGGUCCGGUACUGACGCUGAGGUGCGAAAGCGUGGGGAGCAAACAGG
rnacentral:rRNA from 1 species